rnacentral:tRNA from 1 species
AGCUAAUGAGCUUGAUUAAGCAUAUGUUUUGAAAACAUAGGAUAGAAAAAAAAUUUUCUAUUAGCUU